AGAACGAACGCUGGCGGCAUGCCUAAUACAUGCAAGUCGAACGAACUCUUCGGAGUUAGUGGCGCACGGGUGCGUAACGCGUGGGAAUCUGCCCCUUGGUUCGGAAUAACAGUUGGAAACGACUGCUAAUACCGGAUGAUGACGAAAGUCCAAAGAUUUAUCGCCAAGGGAUGAGCCCGCGUAGGAUUAGCUAGUUGGUGAGGUAAAGGCUCACCAAGACAACGAUCCUUAGCUGGUCUGAGAGGAUGAUCAGCCACACUGGGACUGAGACACGGCCCAGACUCCUACGGGAGGCAGCAGUAGGGAAUAUGGACAAUGGGCGAAAGCCUGAUCCAGCAAUGCCGCGUGAGUGAUGAAGGCCUUAGGGUUGUAAGCUCUUUACCCGAGAUGAUAAUGACAGUAUCGGAGUAAGUAACGCCCCGGACUAACCGUCCGUGCCAGCACGCCG
rnacentral:rRNA from 1 species